rnacentral:misc_RNA from 1 species
AACGCACGAGACCUGCGGACCUGCGGAGGGAUCAUUAUUGGUAUUUAAACAAAAUAUUGCCGAUUUGGUUUUUUUGAAUCAAAUCUGCAUCAAAUCUUUUAAUUAUAUAUAUAUUGACUUACACCUAUACUUAUAAAACACAAUUUGUCUGAUUUAUAUAAUAAUUAUUAAAAAAAAUACAACUUUCAGCAAUGGAUCUCU